AGUCGAGCGGAAGGCUCCUUCGGGGGUACUCGAGCGGCGAACGGGUGAGUAACACGUGAGUAAUCUGCCCCUGGCUUUGGGAUAGCCACCGGAAACGGUGAUUAAUACCGGAUAUGACAUGAGACCGCAUGGUUUUGUGUGGAAAGUUUUUCGGCCAGGGAUGUGCUCGCGGCCUAUCAGCUUGAUGGUGAGGUAAUGGCUCACCAUGGCUUCGACGGGUAGCCGGCCUGAGAGGGUGACCGGUCACACUGGGACUGAGACACGGCCCAGACUCCUACGGGAGGCAGCAGUGGGGAAUAUUGGACAAUGGGCGGAAGCCUGAUCCAGCAACGCCGCGUGAGGGAUGACGGCCUUCGGGUUGUAAACCUCUUUCAGUACCGACGAAGCGCAAGUGACGGUAGGUACAGAAGAAGCACCGGCCAACUACGUGCCAGCAGCCGCGGUAAUACGUAGGGUGCGAGCGUUGUCCGGAAUUAUUGGGCGUAAAGGGCUCGUAGGCGGUUUGUCGCGUCGGGAGUGAAAACGCCGUGCUUAACACGGCGCUUGCUUUCGAUACGGGCAGACUAGAGGUAUGCAGGGGAGAACGGAAUUCCUGGUGUAGCGGUGAAAUGCGCAGAUAUCAGGAGGAACACCGGUGGCGAAGGCGGUUCUCUGGGCAUUACCUGACGCUGAGGAGCGAAAGUGUGGGGAGCGAACAGGAUUAGAUACCCUGGUAGUCCACACCGUAAACGUUGGGCGCUAGGUGUGGGGUCCAUUCCACGGAUUCCGUGCCGCAGCUAACGCAUUAAGCGCCCCGCCUGGGGAGUACGGCCGCAAG
rnacentral:rRNA from 1 species